GGUCACGUCGUCUAGUGGUAAGGACAUCGGAUUUUGACUCAAGCAGCAAAUGUUCCGGGAGCCUGGGUUCGAUCCCCAGCGAGACCU